rnacentral:misc_RNA from 1 species
GAUGAAGAACGUAGCGAAAUGCGAUAAGUAGUGUGAAUUGCAGAAUUCCGUGAAUCAUCGAAUCUUUGAACGCACAUUGCGCCUUCUGGUAUUCCGGAAGGCAUGCCUGUUCGAGAGUCAUUAACAACCGUUUCGAUCCCUUUCUUUCAGAAAUUACAAAGAGGAAAAGGGUUUGGUUAUGGUGGAGGAGGGAAAGGGAGCGUUUAGCCUGUAAAAAAAGAGGCUGUGUUCCGCCUCCCCCCCAAAAUUGUACAGGCGGUCGUGUGCGCCCACGCAUCGAGGUGUUGUAAAAGCUGCCACGGCACUUUUCACCUGUGCAGUGCGAGAUUGGCCAGCCGGUUUAAAAACCCCUCCAAACAAUCAAAGGUUGACCUCGGAUCCGGUAGGGAUACCCGCUGAACUUAAGCAUAUCAAUAAGCGGAGGA